rnacentral:rRNA from 1 species
CAAUUUGAGAGUUUGAUUCUGGCUCAGAACGAACGCUGGCGGCAGGCUUAACACAUGCAAGUCGAACGAUAAACUGGAGCUUGCUCCAGUGGACAGUGGCAGACGGGUGAGUAACGCGUAGCAACCUACCUAGUAGUACGGAAUAGCCCUUGGAAACGAGGUGUAAUACCGUAUACGCCCUUCGGGGGAAAGAUUUAUCGCUAUUAGAUGGGGCUGCGUUGGAUUAGCUAGUUGGUGAGGUAAGAGCUCACCAAGGCGACGAUCUAUAGCGGGUCUGAGAGGAUGAUCCGCCACACUGGGACUGAGACACGGCCCAGACUCCUACGGGAGGCAGCAGUGGGGAAUCUUGGACAAUGGGGGAAACCCUGAUCCAGCCAUGCCGCGUGAAUGAUGAAGGCCUUAGGGUUGUAAAAUUCUUUCGAUAGGGAAGAUAAUGACGGUACCUAUUAAAGAAGCCCCGGCUAACUCCGUGCCAGCAGCCGCGGUAAUACGGAGGGGGCUAGCGUUGUUCGGAAUUACUGGGCGUAAAGCGUACGCAGGCGGAUUGUUAAGUUAGAGGUGAAAUCCCAGGGCUCAACCCUGGAACUGCCUUUAAAACUGGCAAUCUAGAGUUAUGGAGAGGUAAGUGGAAUUCCUAGUGUAGAGGUGAAAUUCGUAGAUAUUAGGAGGAACACCAGAGGCGAAGGCGGCUUACUGGACAUAUACUGACGCUGAGGUACGAAAGUGUGGGGAGCAAACGGGAUUAGAUACCCCGGUAGUCCACACCGUAAACGAUGAGAGCUAGUUGUCCGCAGACAUGUCUGUGGGUGACGCAGUUAACGCAUUAAGCUCUCCGCCUGGGGAGUACGGCCGCAAGGCUAAAACUCAAAGAAAUUGACGGGGGCCCGCACAAGCGGUGGAGCAUGUGGUUUAAUUCGAAGCAACGCGAAGAACCUUACCACCCCUUGACAUACUCGUCGCGGAUUCCAGAGAUGGUUUCCUUCAGUUAGGCUGGACGAUGUACAGGUGCUGCAUGGCUGUCGUCAGCUCGUGUCGUGAGAUGUUAGGUUAAGUCCUGCAACGAGCGCAACCCUCGUCCUUAGUUGCCAGCAUUUAGUUGGGCACUCUAGGGAUACUGCCGGUGCUAAGCCGGAGGAAGGUGGGGAUGACGUCAAGUCUUCAUGGCCCUUACGGGGUGGGCUACACACGUGCUACAAUGGCGAUGACAGAGGGUUAAUCCCUAAAAGUCGUCUCAGUUCGGAUUGUCUUCUGCAACUCGAAGGCAUGAAGUUGGAAUCGCUAGUAAUCGCAGGUCAGCAUACUGCGGUGAAUACGUUCCCGGGCCUUGUACACACCGCCCGUCACACCAUGGGAGUUGGUUCUACCCGAAGGCGCUGCGCUAACCAGUUUACUGGAGGCAGGCGACCACGGUGGGGUCAGCGACUGGGGUGAAGUCGUAACAAGGUAGCCGUAGGGGAACCUGCGGCUGGAUCACCUCCUUUCUAA